AACACUGUUAACCUGCGGUACCUGCGGAGGGAUCAUUACAGAGUUUCUAUAACUCCCUAAACCAUUGUGAACCUUACCUUCUACCGUUGCUUCGGCGGGCGGGCCGGCCCCAGGGCCGCGCCCCCCCAGGCCCCCCCGCGGGGCGCCCGCCGGAGGAAACCCAAACUCUUGAUAUCCAUGGCCUCUCUGAGUCUUCUGUACUGAAUAAGUCAAAACUUUCAACAAUGGAUCUCAGAUCGG
rnacentral:misc_RNA from 1 species